CCAAUAGCGUAUAUUAAAGUUGUUGCAGUUAAAAAGCUCGUAGUUGAAUUUCGGGGUCAGUAGGUUGGUCGUGCCACGGGUAUGUACUGGUCUCACUGAUUCCUCCUUCCUGAUGAACCGUAAUGCCAUUAAUUUGGUGUUGCGGGGAAACUGGACUGUUACUUUGAAAAAAUUAGAGUGUUUAAAGCAGGCUAACGCCUGAAUACAUUAGCAUGGAAUAAUGAAAUAGGACGUUCGAUCCUAUUUUGUUGGUUUCUAGGAUUGACGUAAUGAUUAAUAGGGAUAGUUGGUGGCAUUAGUAUUCAAUUGUCAGCGGUGAAAUUCUUGGAUUUAUUGAAGACUAACUACUGCGAAAGCAUUUGCCAAGGAUGUUUUCAUUAAUCAAGAACGAAAGUUAGAGGAUCGAAGACGAUCAGAUACCGUCGUAGUCUUAACCAUACACUAUGCCGACUAGGGAUCGGAUGAUGUUAAUUUUUUAAUGACUCAUUAGGCGCCUUACG
rnacentral:rRNA from 1 species